UAUUUAAAACAAAUAUAAUUUUAUUUGUCUCAAAUAAAAUAUUUCUCUGGGUGUAUAAUAUUAAUAGAAUACAAUAUAAUAAAUAAAUACAGUCAAGUCUCGUAACUGCAAGAUAUUUUAUUAUAGAACUCUCACAACUGCAAGCUAAUGUCAUCAACAUUGUCAAUGCCUGAAAGCCAUUAAAAUUAUCAUUAAAUAUUUUAUAUUUGAUACAUUAAUAUUCAAUGCAUAAGAUAAGAUUAAUAUCGAGUGGAAAUUUACACACGUGUUAAUUGUAUUUGAAUAUACAUAUGUAAUAAAAAAAUUUUUAUUUAAUGAACCGAAAAUAUUUUCUGGAUACAAUAUUAAUUUAUUAUUAUUAACGUAUAUUGUUACAUAAAAUGAAUAAUAUAAAAGCAAAAAAAAAGAAAAAAAUUGUCCCAGUUUUCAAUUGAAAUUUGCAACGAAAUGUACUGGAAAACUUUUUGUAUACUUGCAAUCAUUUUUGUUUGCCUAUUUUUUAGUGCAAAUGUAAAAGCUUGUUUAAAUGCAGGUGAAAAAUGUGAUGGAGAAUUAUUGAACAAUUGUUGUGAAGGUUUAAGGUGUUUACCUGCUUUUUCUGACUCUAUUUGUCAAUAUAAUAUUUAAAAGCAUAAAAAAAAAAAUUAAAUUACAGUUCUGUUGAAGCUAUAAUCAUUAUAAUUUGGAAAAUGGAAAUUGAUAAAAAAAAUUUUAAUCUUUGGAUAAUUUCAUAAUUCUGUUAAAUAUUAUUUUAGAAAAUUAAAAAGUAUUAAAAUAAGCUUAUUAUUGUAAUCCAAUUUUGCUUUUUUUAAUACCAAAAUAGAUUAAAAUAAGCAAAAUUGGAUUAAAAUAAUAGUUGCAGCUUAUUUUAAUGCCUUUUAAUUUUCUAUGGUGAUAAUGCUUGUUGAUUUAAAAUUAUAAAUUUUAUUUGAUUUAAAAUAAAUUUUUAUAUAUUUAAGUAAAAUAA